rnacentral:rRNA from 1 species
AACGAACGCUGGCGGCAUGCUUUACACAUGCAAGUUGAACGGUAACAGGUUAAGCUGACGAGUGGCGAACGGGUGAGUAAUGCAUCGGAACGUGCCCGGUCGUGGGGGAUAACGCAGCGAAAGCUGCGCUAAUACCGCAUACGAUCUAUGGAUGAAAGUGGGGGAUCGCAAGACCUCGCGCGGUUGGAGCGGCGGAUAUCGGAUUAGGUAGUUGGUGGGGUAAAGGCUCACCAAGCAGACGAUCUGUCGCUGGUCUGAGAGGACGACCAGCCACACUGGGACUGGGACACGGCCCAGACUCCUACGGGAGGAAGCAGUGGGGAAUUUUGGACAAUGGGCGAAAGCCUGAUCCAGCCAUGCCGCGUGCAGGAUGAAGGCCUUCGGGUUGUAAACUGCUUUUGUACGGAACGAAAGGGUUUGGCCUAAUAAGCUGAGCUCAUGACGUUACCGUAAGAAUAAGCACCGGCUAACUACGUGCCAGCCGCCGCAGUAA